CUAUCUUUGUUGCGCAUUGGUUCGCGACCCUCACCUUUAUGACCCGAGGUUAGCGAUUAAAAGGGAAUCAGGUGUAAAUCCUGAACAGUCCCGCUGCUGUAAUUUCCAUAUCAAACGUUACAGGCACUUACUUUUGCCACUGGAGUAUACAUACCUCCGGGAAGGCGCCUGAAACAGGAACGAGUCAGAAGACCUACCAUGCUACCUAUUUCACA
rnacentral:ncRNA from 2 species